CUCAGUGGUUAGACCGAGCAGGCCAAGGUAACCACCGGUGUCUGCAUCCUCAGCGUAAAGAGAGAACAUGUUGCUGCUUUUAUAAUUUCUUUUGGCGAUGUUUGCAAACGAUACAGAAGAACAGGCCCCAUCUGAAUCAGGAGGCAGACUGAUCAAGCAUCUCAGUAGAUCUCAGCUCUUAAGUGUGAAAAAAUUGGCAUGGCUCAUCAAAACUUUCAAAGGUUAACAUAGUGUUAAUCUACAAGCAAAUUACUUCUAAUCUAAAUGGAUUAAUGAUCACCCUUCACUCCUGGACUGAUCAGUCAUGUGGCAAACAGUUUAGAAACAAUUUGAAUAUGUCUUUCGGUUCAGUGGCUUCAGGCGGACCUUACUUACGGCAAUAAUUUCCAACCAGAAUACGAGCAAUCAACCAAAACAUCAGUAUCAUCUUCUAUUCUUUGUAUUUUUCUAUCCAUUUUAGCAAGGCACUAUUUCAAAAGUAUAUGGACUUGUUUAAAAUGUUAAUGGAGGAAAAUGACUAAGGACCUGACUGAUUUAAAGCUAUUGAAGUGAAAAGAAAGACUUCCAUUGGCUUCACUGGUCUUUGGAUUAGGCCCAAACUGUGACCCAUCACGCUUCCAUUGAAAUUGAGGGAGUUUGACCGUUGACUUCAAUGAGAGCAUGACUAGGCCUGUUGUGACUUGCAGUAGUAUUCAGAAUUUCCCCUUAACGCAUCAGGUCAGUACAAUUACAAUCAAUAGUACAAAACACUUGCUAUUUAUUUGUACUAAAACUGAUAUGAAAUGUCUUUUUUAUACUCCACUUCCCCCCCUUUGAUUGCAUAUUUAUAUUAUAUAAAUGCCAUGUGGUUUUACUAGUGAAAUUAAAAAGU